rnacentral:tmRNA from 2 species
GGGAGCGACUUGGCUUCGACAGGAGUAAGUUUGCAAAGAUGGCAUACCGCUUUGGGCAAAGCGUUAAAAGCCUAAAUAAAAUUAAACGCAAACAACGUAAAAUUUGCUCCUGCUUACGCUAAAGCUGCGUAAGUUCAGUUGAGCCCGAAUUUUAAACGAUACUAUCUAGUUUAAAAUUUGGUCAUUACAAGAUAGUGUAGUCUUUGAUUUGACGCAUCAAAGAUGAAAUAAAAGUCUUAGCCAAAUCUUAAAGUUUUGGAAGAUGAGCUUGAUUUGGUGAAUUCUUCAUCUUUACUAAGUAUGUAGAGGUCUUUGUGGAAUUAUUUUUGGACAGGGGUUCGAUUCCCCUCGCUUCCACCA